UUUGUGAGAUGGUCAUGGCAUUAAAAUUUGCUGUAAAGGGUUGACAAGUUUUCGUUGAGGCUAAUAUGGCCCCACAGGGAUUGUCAUGGGUACAGAGGCCCAAGUACUGAAUACAGAAGCAGAACUCCCAGCCCGGACGGAAGCAGGAGAAAGGGGGAGAAUGUGGCUAGUAAAAUGCUUGUAUUAAAGCUCAUGGGUAGAACUCCUUGACUCUGGCCCUAUCCAGGCUACUACUGUGACUCUUUUUCCCUUCCUGGUCAGUGUGACAGGUGUUAACAGGAAGACGUGCAAAGUGGGGACUGCUAGUAAGUUCAGGUGAGGGCUUUAGCGUUUUUAAACAUUUUAGGUUAUUUAAUGUUUAAAUUACAUUUUUAAAUGUUUUUAAAAUGUAAUGUUUUAAACCCACUGCAAGUCUUCUCUGUUGCUUGGAGUUCCUUUUCUGUCCUGGUCUUGGUGGGGAAAGCUUCAAGGGAACCUCAAAGGGGAACAGGAAGCUGAAGAGCAGAAAACAAACAAACGCUUGGCGCUUGGCGCACCAGGCAGGACUCUGGUGAGGAAGGUUGGGGGAGAAUCAUCUUAGAGUUUCUUGAGCUCCGUGGCUGUUGUGUCACACCGCCUUGUCCCUGGCACCCUGAUGAUGAACUGAAGCCUUUCCACAGAAUGUUCUGGACAACCCCACCCCCACAGUCACCAGGUCCUGUGCUGCAAACCCUUUGCCAUCUAUCUUUUAUCACCCCUCCAGAAAAUUAUUUAUUAACUGCUUGGCUGUACUUUCUGAAUUAAAUAAAAAC
rnacentral:lncRNA from 1 species